UACGUAGGAGGCGAGCGUUGUCCGGAAUUAUUGGGCGUAAAGGGCUCGUAGGCGGUUUGUCGCGUCGGGAGUGAAAACUCAGGGCUUAACCCUGAGCCUGCUUCCGAUACGGGCAGACUAGAGGUAUGCAGGGGAGAACGGAAUUCCUGGUGUAGCGGUGAAAUGCGUAGAUAUCGGAAGGAACACCAGUGGCGAAAGCGGCUUCCUGGUCCAGCACCGACGUUCAGGCACGAAAGCGUGGGGAGCAAACAGG
rnacentral:rRNA from 1 species